GUGCUCGCUUCGGUAGCACAUAUACUAAAAUUGGAAUGAUAAAGAGAUUAGCAUCGCCCCUGCGCAAAGAUGACAUGCAAAUUCAUGGAGCGUUCCAUAUUAAA